GACGUAGGGCGCGAGCGUUGUCCGGAUUUAUUGGGCGUAAAGAGCUCGUAGGCGGCUUGUUGCGUCGACUGUGAAAACCCGCGGCUUAACUGCGGGCUUGCAGUUGAUACGGGCAGGCUAGAGUUCGGUAGGGGGAGACUGGAAUUCCUGGUGUAGCGGUGAAAUGCGCAGAUAUCAGGAAGAACACCCGUGGCGAAGGCGGCUCUCUGGGACGGUACUGACGCUGAGACGCGAAAGCGUGGGGGAGCGAAACAGG
rnacentral:rRNA from 1 species